rnacentral:rRNA from 1 species
AUGGAGGCAGAUGGGCAGUCAAGUCAUGGGGGCCGUGCUCCGGGCAGUACACAAGUACCUGCAGCUAUAGCAACUGGGAGUGAUGCUCAUACCCUGGAUGGCACAGGUGCUGCAGGUGAUACCAGUGGCACUGUUGGUAAUGGUUUGGAUGCUGAAAAUGAUGAUGAAGCUUGGUCACAGCCCAAGGAGCCUUACGUGGGCAUGAGGUUCGACACUUUGGAAGAUGCCAAGGUGCAUUAUAAUGCAUAUUCCUUGUAA